AUGGGGUGUGGAAUCCGCAGGGUAGAAGAUGACGAAGGUGACAGUGUGCGCGGGGAGGGGGAAGCAGCGAACCCACAUUCAAAUACGCCGGGGAUCCUCCCGGAGUCGCGGCUCUCGGGCCGGGUUUCUCCUCCUCCGCCCGGCGGGAGCCAGAUGAGUCUAAAUCCCCGAUCCCCGGCGGGGUCCAGUGCCGGGACCGCCACGGCUACCCUAAAAGACCCGGUCCCCGAAGGCUUUCCGUGCCCAAGUGGAGGUGUAAGAGUGAGCGCGCGCAGGGCAGGGCGCGGGGCACCCACGUGUAGAGCCGACACGGACCUGCGACCCUACAACCAGAGGGGUGACCCUGCGCUCUGGCACCCCCGCGAGGAGCUCGGAAUGCACAGACGUUGGAUUCACCGUUGUCUGUCUCCAGCUAUCACCACACCAAGCAGAAGGGCCUCCCGAGGCACAUCUACCCUCUUCUUCCCGUGUUUCUGGCCUGUGCACAGCUGGCACCCUUGGCAGACGUCCAUCUUGGCAGAGGCCCAAGGCCUAGAAAAUUAAGACGCCUAGGAACCUGGGUGGCUGUUUUCCUGGAUUUCGCCCGCUUUGAUGAGGCCGGAGCGGGCCUCUUCAGAGGAACGUAGACCUGUCUGCACCCGAACACCAAAACCGAGCCCAGGGGGCGUGGCCGGGCGGCUGGCGCAGAGGCCCCACCUCACGUGGGAGGACGCUGGCAUCUGGUAUGAGGCCUGGCAGAGUGGGCCUGGGAGGUGGCUCCAGGCCCAGGGCCAGCCACGCUGCUUUCCCACGUGUGCAGGCGUUAGCUUCGCCAGGGCCAAACUCUAGGGGUGGAGGGCCCGAGAGAGGAAAGCUGGGGGCUUUCCCGUCUGUGUGCGCCACCCUGCACCAGGACGCCGCUGCUCCAAAGAGCCCAAGCGGGGCUUUCUCAGGGUUUCUAAGGAGUAGUCCUGAGACAUUCAGAAUCAUCAGAACCCAUCAGUUCACAGCCCUGGCUUAAAGUUCUCCUAUCACAGCCCACCGGCCUGCCCCAUGCCAGCCGCCAGGUGCAUGUGGCUGUUGAGCACUUGAAAUGUGCUCCUAAUUGACACCAGAUUUCAGACAUAGUAAGAAAAAAAAAGGAUGUAAAUAUCUUAAUAAAUUUUUUUUGUAUAUUGGGUCA
rnacentral:lncRNA from 1 species